rnacentral:rRNA from 1 species
UACGGAGGGUGCAAACGUUGCUCGGAAUCAUUGGGCGUAAAGCGCACGUAGGUGGCUUGUUAAGUCGGGUGUGAAAUCCCUGGGCUCAACCCAGAAGUGCACUCGAAACUGGCGAGCUUGAGUACUGAAGAGGGUCGCGGAAUUCCCGGUGUAGAGGUGAAAUUCGUAGAUAUCGGGAGGAACACCAGUGGCGAAGGCGGCGACCUGGGCAGAUACUGACACUG